UACGUAGGUGGCAAGCGUUGUCCGGAUUUACUGGGUGUAAAGGGCGAGUAGACGGCGCUACAAGUCAGAUGUGAAAACUUGGGGCUCAACCCCAAGACUGCAUCUGAAACUGUAGUGCUAGAGUGCAGGAGAGGUAAGUGGAAUUCCUAGUGUAGCGGUGAAAUGCGUAGAUAUUAGGAGGAACACCAGUGGCGAAGGCGACUUACUGGACUGUAACUGACGUUGAGGCGCGAAAGUGUGGGGAGCAAACAGG
rnacentral:rRNA from 1 species